GUCCCUAUAGCUCAGUAGGAUAGAGCAGCGGUUUCCUAAACCGCGUGCCGGAGGUUCGAAUCCUCUUAGGGACG
rnacentral:tRNA from 2 species